rnacentral:siRNA from 1 species
UAUCGACGAACUAGAAAAGA